AACACUUCCCAGCCUUUCAGCUAAGAUCAAAUAUAAUAUCUGUUCUUAUCAGUUUAGUGUCUGAUGUGUCCUUUAUCUGAGAACAAUAUAGUAAAUGGAUUUGGGGAAGUAGGAGAUGGAAUAGGAGCUUGUUCCAUUCAUUCCAUGCAUUGACCUGGUAUUGCAAUACUUCCAGGAACGGUGUACCCCCG